rnacentral:rRNA from 1 species
CCUACGGGAGGCAGCAGUGAGGAAUAUUGGUCAAUGGACGAGAGUCUGAACCAGCCAAGUAGCGUGAAGGAUGACUGCCCUAUGGGUUGUAAACUUCUUUUAUAAAGGAAUAAAACGAGGCACGUGUGCCUUUUUGCAUGUACUUUAUGAAUAAGGAUCGGCUAACUCCGUGCCAGCAGCCGCGGUCAUACGGAGGAUCCGAGCGUUAUCCGGAUUUCUUGGGUUUAAAGGGAGCGUAGAUGGGUUGUUAAGUCAGUUGUGAAAGUUUGCGGCUCAACCGUAAAAUUGCAAUUGAUACUGGCAGUCUUGAGUACAGUUGAGGUAGGCGGAAUUCGUGGUGUAGCGGUGAAAUGCUUAGAUAUCACGAAGAACCCCGAUUGCGAAGGCAGCUUACUAAACUGUGACUGACAUUGAUGCUCGAAAGUGUGGGUAUCAAACAGUAUUAGAUACCCCUGUAGUC